AAAAUCACAAGGAGUUGGAGACCAACUUUUCUUCUUGCCCACGUCUAUGUUCUAUAUGGUAACUGGAGAGUGGCAGAUACACGGUGAAUGUUAAUUUAAUGACUGGGUGGACAAACGGAUGGAUGAAUGGAAAGCAACAAUUGGAUGAAGGAGGUGUCAUUAUCAUCAUUGCUUAACAGUCAUUCAGGCCACCCUGGGUUCUACCCCCCUGGAAAGACUUCCUUUGGCCAGUGUCAAUCAGUGCCAAAAUCAAGAGGAAAACUGAGGAGGAUUUCAUUAUAGAAGACUAUACCACCUGGACACAAGGAUACAAGAGCAGAGUUGCUGAAGCCAUCUUGGAGUAUCAGGUCUCCCUGAUUCUUCUGAAUCCUCCCAGAGAGCCACCACAGAUCUGGGCAUUGUGAUCAACAUUCAGUGGCAAGCCUGGAGGGGCAAUGCUUGCCUCCCAUCGUAUGGCAGGCCAGAUAUGUUCCUGGCCCAUCAGAAGCCUUCUUCUGGAUGCAGUCUAUAAGCCACUGUGAUGGAUGAGAAGAGCCCAGGAUGGAGAUGAAAGUCUGGAACCAGAAUCUGAGCCCUUAUUUUUCUGACUCACUGUUUUACCUUGGAAGAAUCAUUGAAGUUUUCUGCAUCUCUGUUUCCUCAUAUGUUUAAAAAAGAAAGCACUUAACCUUGGUGGUUAUGAAAAAUAAAUGAAA